GACGCCAACUUUACUGUGCUCCACUAGAGUGAAGACUUCCCACUUCCUCCCCCACCCUCAUCUCACCUCCUGUCCCUUUCUGAUUCUGCAUGGCAAACUCCUUCCUUCUGGCGAAACCUGCUGUCUUGCUCUCGUAGGGUAGUAGAAUUGGUGGCUUCUGUCUUAACCGGAAGAGGAAGAGGAUACACACCUUCUCAUCUCUUGCUUGUCACUGGCCCUGGAACCUUAGUUUCUGAGCUGCUCUAGCACAAAACCUUGGACUGCCUCUACUUCCAUUGUCAGGCAGGUAGAGCAAAACAGGGGCAGCAAACACGCGUGAGGCAGUAUUUGGGAAGCAGUCAGUCAGCAAAAUUUCAGGUGGGGGGGAUUCGCUUUUAGCUAUGACCGUUUGGAAAAAGAAAACUUGAUUGUAGUUGCAAUUUAGUUUUCCACAGUCAAAUUGCAAUUUAGAUCCAUCACAGUCAAGAGUUUUGAGAGUGGCACGCCAAAGGGGGCAUUGUCAGAAUUGUGCACAGAAGCGCUUCAUGAUCCCCUCAGCAGAUGAGAGCACGACUGUGCAGAGUUGGCUUUGAGGCUGAAUUUAAAAGCAUGGAUUUCCAAGAAACACAGCAGCUGAGAAGUCACUGUGCCACACCUGCCCCUGAGAAUAUCCCUGGCAGCUGUAGCGUAGUAGCUAACAGGGUAUCUGUCCUUUUGGGUUGACCUAGUUGAUUUUGACAUUCUGCGGAGACCCUACAUCAAAAGGGAUGGUUCUCAAUGCAAAUAUGAUGGGGUGGGGGCUGUUACUUGCCACGGGGUUGUUGUCUUAGCCCAGGGGAAUGUACAACCUCCAAACUGGAGGAAACCGAACAGUGGGAUAUUGUGGGUUAGUUGGUUCUGACAAGUUGCCCUACCAUUGUAUGAGCUACCUUUGCCAGAAAUAAAAUGAGAAGGAAUUUUCUCAGAAGAAUCGACAUUCUCUUGGACAAAGCGCAGUGGAAGUAAUGGAACCGAAGAGGGAGGCUGCCGCUGUUCUUCACAUCACCUUUCACCAAUAUGCUUGCACCCCUUCUACACUGGGACUAGUUCAAAAGGAAGUUGGUUUCAGUGGGGUGGGGCUGCAUUUGAUAUUACGGGAGAAACUGUCCACAUGAUGGUUCUGCUACAGAUAUUAUAUUCAUAAUCCAUGUAUGCAGUGUGUUUUCUUUUACUUUUCAAAAAUAUUUUAAUU